rnacentral:rRNA from 1 species
GAUGAACGCUGGCGGCAGGCUUAACACAUGCAAGUCGAGCGGAGUGAUGGUGCUUGCACUAUCACUUAGCGGCGGACGGGUGAGUAAUGCUUAGGAAUCUGCCAUUUAGUGGGGGACAACAUUCCGAAGGAAUGCUAAUACCGCAUACGUCCUACGGGAGAAAGCAGGGGAUCUUCGGACCUUGCGCUAAUAGAUGAGCCUAAGUCGGAUUAGCUAGUUGGUGGGGUAAAGGCCUACCAAGGCGACGAUCUGUAGCGGGUCUGAGAGGAUGAUCCGCCACACUGGGACUGAGACACGGCCCAGACUCCUACGGGAGGCAGCAGUGGGGAAUAUUGGACAAUGGGGGGAACCCUGAUCCAGCCAUGCCGCGUGUGUGAAGAAGGCCUUAUGGUUGUAAAGCACUUUAAGCGAGGAGGAGGCUACUGAGACUAAUACUCUUGGAUAGUGGACGUUACUCGCAGAAUAAGCACCGGCUAACUCUGUGCCAGCCGCCGCGGUAAGAC